rnacentral:rRNA from 1 species
AGAGUUUGAUCCUGGCUCAGAACGAACGCUGGCGGCGUGCUUAACACAUGCAAGUCGAACGGGAUCCAGAGCUUGCUCUGGUGAGAGUGGCGCACGGGUGAGUAACGCGUGGAUAACCUGCCCUGGUAUCCGGAAUAACAUCUCGAAAGGGGUGCUAAUACCGGAUAAGCCUACGGAGCCUUCGGUCUCUGCAGGAAAAGGUGGCCUCUAUUUAUAAGCUACCGUAUCAGGAUGGGUCCGCGUACCUUUAGCUAGUUGGUGGGGUAAUGGCCUACCAAGGCGACGAUGGUUAGCUGGUCUGAGAGGAUGAUCAGCCACACUGGAACUGAGACACGGUCCAGACUCCUACGGGAGGCAGCAGUGGGGAAUUUUGCGCAAUGGGGGAAACCCUGACGCAGCAACGCCGCGUGAGUGAUGAAGGCUUUCGGGUCGUAAAGCUCUGUCAGAGGGGAAGAAAUGAGAUUGGCUAAUAUCCAAUUUUCUUGACGGUACCCUCAAAGGAAGCACCGGCUAACUCCGUGCCAGCAGCCGCGGUAA